rnacentral:misc_RNA from 1 species
UCGAGUGAGGGUCCUCUGGGCCCCAUCUCCAACCCGUGUCUAUCAUACCCUGUUGCUUCGGCGGGCCCGUCCUUAACUGGACCGCCGGGGAUCAUCGCCCCUGGCCAGCGCCCGUCAGUAGCCCAACCUUUAAAAUCUUUUAACUAAACGUGCCUUAAUCUAAGUACAAUUAUUAAAUAAAAGCA